GCGAGGAGGGGCGAGGUGCGGCGGAGGCCGGGUCGGGGAAGGAGGCCCGGGAACGGGACCUGGAGCGGGGCUGGGACUGGGGUCCAGAUUCGAGGGGGAAGGCGUGGAAGAGAGAGGUGAGGAAGAGCAGGGGCUGUGGUGGUAGGGGUCUGGCAGAAUGGGGGCGUGGAGGAGGGAGACCCGGGAGGAAGGGAGGGAAGGAGGCAGAGACUGGGAGCCCCGCAGACCCUCAGGAAUAGGGCCUAGAAAGGGCAGUGACCCUGGGGCCGGUCACGGGCCAGGCCGGACUAGUGGGCCUGGGGUAUGAGGUGGGUGUGACGGGGAGGCCUGCCUGAGCUUGCCCUGCCAUCUCAGGUGUCUGGGAGAUCCCUCUGGGGCUGGCUUGGCCUGUGCCCCUUAGCAGGCCCCCUCUGCCCCAGGCAGCCUUCGCCCCACCCAGUUCGAGGUGGGUGGAGACUCAUCCCCCUCAGGCAGGCUCAGCACCUGCCCAGGGCUCCAUCAAUGUCUGUUCAGGCGAGUUGGAUUGAGCCGGGCAAGGACUGCCAGCUCAGAUGUCAGCUCCCUUGCCCUCUGAGGAGGAUGCAGAGUCCGCAGUGGGGUUUCCUUUUCUUGGCCUUGCAGACAGAGCUGAGGGCAGGUGUCCAAACUGUGCCUUCUUUCACUUAUCCGAUAACUAUGUAGUCAUCACCUACUAUGGCCAGGCCCUGUUGCAGGUGCUGGGGAUACAGCAGGAAACUAACAAAAUACCUGCCUUGGUUACAUUCCAGGCAGGGGAAUAAAUAAGCAAAAUAAAGUAGUAAAUUAGAAGGUAAAAAUGGUUAGUUGAAGAAACGGAACAGGGUCCAAUGAGGAGAAUAAAGAAUUGACAGGGUGGUAAGAGAUGGCCUCAUUGAAGUGACAUUGGACAAGACUUGAAGAAGGUCCGUCUCUCACCCCCUCAGCAGCCCUGGGGCUGUUCUUGGGAAGAAAAGACAUGGACCCCAGUCAACCAAGGGUGAAGAUGAAACUCAGAUAUUCAGAGAUGGGAGGAAGGAAGAUCAGGAGAUGCCUUCUGAUGUGACCAGCAUAACCUCAGGCACCUGCAAGGACCUAUGAGGAUUUAACACAGCAAUAAUAAGUGACUACAUUUGAGGCUUCCACCUUCACAGCAGGCCGUCCUGGAAGUGACUGACACCCACCAGCGUACCCUUCUGACCAUCUGCCUGAGCGCUGAGCUUGCUGGGAUAUGGGGGUUGGGAGCAGAAGCUGAUAAACACUGUCAUCCUGACAGUUGGGCUCCUUGGUCUCUGGGCUCAUUCCCACAUCUGCGAUGUUUUUUGAUCCUCACCCGUUGCCUGGGCUGCUCUGGCAGCUGCCACAGCAACCCUGGAGAUAUACAGGUGAUCACAGGGGGAGAACAUCCCCAAAUGGUUUUCCAGGCAUUGCUGUUACAGGUUUGACAAGGAUGUGAAAAAUCACAGCCUGUAGGCCGAAUCCAGCCUUGAGGCCUGGCAAUCGCUGGCAGAAAAGGAGCUAAGUGGAAGAUGGCUCAGGAAGUCUGACUCCAGGAUAAUUCCUGCAGGAGAGCUGGCUUGCCGGGAGCCAUGGAGACGGGCUAAAUGUUCAGAGCAAAGGUCGAUGCAAAUGGGGAUGCCUCGGUGGUCUGGAAACGUCCCAGUCCUCUUCCCCCAAAAGCCUGGGCCCCCUGGACAACUAGAAUAAGAAAGGCAAAGAGUGGGCUUAUAUGUCUAAAUGAACAGCAAAGUAAAGAUCAGAAACUACACAGAUAUAGGGGAGAACAUUAUACCUUCACCAGGGAGGAGACUGUUCCUGAGAGUGUGAAAAGGAUGAUUUUUGAGCUUCCUAGCAGACCAGACACAGAAGAAAACACAUGGAGGGUUCUGAUUUGAAUAAUGCAACUGAUUCACACUUCUGGAGUUUUAAAGGGCAAUCAGGAAUUAGGCGAUGAAAAGUGGAUACUCUACAAUAAUGUGGAAUGGAAGAGAUUGUGGGGCAAGCGAAAUGAACCACCACCAACCACACCAAAGGCCGGUCUUCAUCCAAAGAAGGUGAUGUUGUGUAUAUGGUGGGAUUGGAAGGGAGUCCUCUAUUAUGAGCUCCUUCUGGAAAACCGAAUGAUUAAUUCCAACAAGUACUGCUCCCAAUUAGACCAACUGAAAGCUGCACUCGACAAAAAAUGUCCAGAAUUAGUCAACAGAAAACGCAUAAUCUCCCAUCAGGAUAACGCAAGACCGCAUGUUUCUUUGAUGACCAGGCAAAAACUGUCACAGCUUGGCUGGGAAGUUCUGAUUCAUACACAGUAUUCGCCAGACAUUCCAUGUUUGGAUUUCCAUUUAUUUCAGUCUUUACAAAAUUCUCGUAAUGGAAAAAAAUUUCAAUUCCCUGGAAGGCUGUAAAAGGCAUCUGGAACAGUUCUUUGCUCAAAACGAUAAAAAGUUUUGGGAAGAUGGAAUUAUGAAGUUGCCUAGAAAAUGGCAGAACGUAGUGGAACAAAAGGGUGAAUAUGUUGUCCAAUAAAGUUCUUGGUGAAAAUGAAAAAUGU